UACGAAUAGUAAUAUACUGAUGAUUCUCCUAAAGCAGUGUUGCUAGAGAACAAACACCAAAAUGAUACUGUGCAUGGCGACACCACAAACACUCUUGUGAUGUAGAACAGAACACGUACUCUGAUGUAGCUAUGACAGAAGGACCUUUGUCAUGAUCUCUGUGAUAUCCACAUCUGUUACCUUAAGCUACAGUGUUCACAUGAGAACGUUCCAGGGAUACAUGGAGACAUCUUUGUCUGGCUGAAAGGCAGGCAUAAAUCAUAUAAAUGUCUUCAUCAAACAUCAAAAUUGUUUAACUUAACUACCAUCACUCCUACUUUUCCCUUCAAAACGUCCCUCCAAACAGCAGAGGAAAGCAGAUGUUGAAUGGGAGGGGGGAGGGGGAGGCAGGAGGAGCGCUUCCCCGCGUGUGCUCUGUGCGGUUUGGUUCUAAGGUUGUCUGGUACCAGAUGGUGCUCCUUUGUUGAUGAAGGGAAUUUGGAGGACGCAAGGAAAUCACCACAGAUGAGUGGAUUAAGGAAGGAAAAGUGAACCGCAGGCUGCUCUAAAGGACUUUUACAUUAGUACAAUCGGCGUGAACGAAGUUACUUUCCGUGUGUCGUUCAAAACUGUCCCGCUCAUGACCAUCGUUAUCCUGGAGGAAAGUUACCAUGCUUUUGAAGACUUGUCUUGAAGAGAAAAAAAAAGUCACCACACAUAAAAAAAAAAAUGUAAAUAUACUAUGGGACCUAAAUGUGUAUUUGAUUAAGAACUAGAAUACUACCUACACUAAAUUUUUAGACAUUUAGAAAUGGGGAAGAUCAAUAAGAAGAAUACUUAUAGAAGAGAGGGAGAGAACGAGUAUGUUGGAUGUUAGAAAGUGACUUUGUCGUCGAAUAAAAACUAAGUUUUGAAAAGCC
rnacentral:lncRNA from 1 species